UGCUCCCAUUUCGAGUCAAGAGAUAGAUAAAUAGAGUGUGAAGCAGUGUCAAACCAAAAUACCCAACAAGCAUUAGC
rnacentral:tRNA from 1 species